AUAUUUGCUAAUUUUCGUUAUCCCUGUAGAGUUAGGUUUAGGUCUCUAGUUCCGGUUACGGUUGUAUAUGCUUUAGAAAGUCAAGUGGUCCUAUCCAUACAGAAUUCUUUAGGUUUCUGCAGGUUUCUUCUUCAUCUUUGCAUCUUCGUUUCCUUGCAUUUAGAUUUAGUGUCUCUAUAAAUAGUCCAACACUGGUUAGUCUCUUUGUUCCUUAGUUAAAUGUUGUUCCUAUUGGCUGCCUUAAUCUUCUUUCAUUGAACUCUUGCUUGGUCUGUUAUGGCCCGAUUUGCCUUCAUACUCUAAACAUAACUUUCUUUACUUCUAAUGACAAUCUGACCCCUUUAACUACACUCUUAUCAAGGGUGUUCUCCCCCUUCACCAUCUUUUCUGGUUUUUAAGAAAGAAAAGAGGGAAGGGGCAGUGAUUGUUGUUCUUUCCUACUUCUGCUUUGUUGCUUCUUCAGUUCAUAUCAUAGGGUUGGUCAAUCUGUGUUUCUCUGUUCUGUUUCAUGUCUUGAGUUGGAAUUGCGGUCCUCACAUCGUUUUCAUCCUUGGAGAUUGUUGAUCUCGCCUGGCCUUCAACAAGGGUGCAAGUUGGAAAAUUAUUCAGGCGGUGGUUUCUUUAGCGGUUGAUAAUCUAAGUCCUUUUAUCUGUAAUAGUUCCUUGGACGAGGCAAAUGCAAUUCCAGUAUAUGGUCACCUGUGUCUAAGAAUGCAUGAUGUCCGUCGGAAGCUGCUUGCUUUGUCAUGUGCGCCAGGAUCAGUGGAGUCAAUAUGUUGUGUCGAACAAAUAUCUGGUCUCCUUGUUUUAUUGUCUAUUUAAAUUUCAGUGUUAAGUCUGUUUGGUAUCGUCAAUCUGAACUUGGAUGGUAUUGUGUUCAUCUAUUAUCAUCUUUAAUUCUAUGUAAGUUAUACAUUAUGUUAUCUAUUUAAUUAUCAUGGUACGAUGUUUUGUUUUAUUUAUAUUGAGGUAUUGGGCCGUUUCAUGGAUUUAAUCUGCAAGAUGGUGCUGUUGGGAAACCUCGGAGUAGAAUUCUUAUUAUUGGGAUUUGAAACUUGACACUCAUUCUCCAAUGCAUCUCGCGGAGAAUUCUCAGGUCUAGUCACCCUGCUGAGAAAGCUUUGAGAUUAAGGAGGCCAAAAAAGAUGCAGAUAGGAAACUCCAAGAAGUUGCCUAACCUAUUCCACAUUUCAGUGAACAAAUGAUUAGCAAAUUCAAUAUCAAUGAACAAAGGCGUGAACGAGAAUAGGAGAAACU